UCCCCUGUAGCUCAAUGGUAGAGCAAUCGACUGUUAAUCGAUAGGCUACUGGUUCGAAUCCAGUCGGGGGAG
rnacentral:tRNA from 1 species